rnacentral:rRNA from 1 species
AGAGUUUGAUCCUGGCUUAGGACGAACGCUGGCGGCGUGCUUCAUACAUGCAAGUCGAACGAGAAGCAAGAGCUUGCUCUUGUGGAAAGUGGCGGACGGGUGAGUAACACGUAGGGAAUCUGCCUUUAGGCGGGGGACAACAGUUGGAAACGACUGCUAAUACCCCAUAUGAGCUAAGUUGAAAUACUUAUCUUGAAAACUCCGGUGCCUAGAGAUGAGCCUGCGUCUGAUUAGCUAGUUGGCGGGUAAACGCCCACCAAGGCGACGAUCAGUAGCUGGUUUGAGAGGAUGAUCAGCCACAAUGGGACUGAGACACGGCCCAUACUCCUACGGGAGGCAGCAGUAGGGUAAUUUUGCGCAAGUGGGGGAAACCCUGAACCGCAGCAACGCCGCGUGAACGAAGAAGCCCUUCGGGGUGUAAAGUUCUGUCAGUAGGGAAGAACAAAUGACUGUACCUACAGAGGAAGCACCGGCUAACUCCGUGCCAGCCGCGGC